AUACUGUUAUUGAAGCUCAACAGAGGAUAAGAAAAGUUCCGCCCCGGCUUAACAUCAGUGAUGCAAUUGAGCGCUAUUCGUUUUCCAAUAAUCGACUACUAAUAUUGGGUUUCAAUUCUACACUGACAGAAUCGGUGGAUACCCCUGGAAGAAGAGGUGGAGAUCAAAUCAAAGAAAUGGAACUGAAAUUGCAUCCUGAGUUGAAAGAAUCAUUGCUCGCGAUUUGUAACGACCCAAAGACAACAGUCGUUGUCCUCAGUGGAAGUGAUAGAAACGUCUUAGAUGAUAACUUCAGCGAGUACAACAUGUGGUUAGCAGCAGAAAAUGGAAUGUUUUUACGAUCUACAAACGGUGUAUGGAUGACAACUAUGCCAGAACACCUAAACAUGGACUGGGUUGAUA
rnacentral:misc_RNA from 1 species